rnacentral:hammerhead_ribozyme from 1 species
GCACUACUGAAGAGUCCCACAAUAGGACGAAACGGCUUUCCAGUGC